UAGGGAAUCUUCCGCAAUGGGCGAAAGCCUGACGGAGCAACGCCGCGUGAGUGAUGAAGGUCUUCGGAUCGUAAAACUCUGUUAUUAGGGAAGAACAAAUGUGUAAGUAACUAUGCACGUCUUGACGGUACCUAAUCAGAAAGCCACGGCUAACUACGUGCCAGCAGCCGCGGUAAUACGUAGGUGGCAAGCGUUAUCCGGAAUUAUUGGGCGUAAAGCGCGCGUAGGCGGUUUUUUAAGUCUGAUGUGAAAGCCCACGUCUCAACCGUGGAGGGUCAUUGGAGACUGGAAAACUUGAGUGCAGAAGAGGAAAGUGGAAUUCCAUGUGUAGCGGUGAAAUGCGCAGAGAUAUGGAGGAACACCAGUGGCGAAGGCGACUUUCUGGUCUGUAACUGACGCUGAUGUGCGAAAGCGUGGGGAUCAAACAGG
rnacentral:rRNA from 1 species